AAGUCCUUUACUGACGCUAAAGCUCGAAGGUGCGGGUAUCGAACAGGAUUAGAUACCCUGGUAGUCCGCACGGUAAACGAUGGAUGCCCGCUGUUUGCGAUAUACUGUGAGCGGCCAAGCGAAAGCGUUAAGCAUCCCACCUGGGGAGUACGCCGGCAACGGUGAAACUCAAAGGAAUUGACGGGGGCCCGCACAAGCGGAGGAACAUGUGGUUUAAUUCGAUGAUACGCGAGGAACCUUACCCGGGCUUGAACUGCAGCAGAACGAUUGAGAGAUCAUGAGGUCCUUCGGGACUGCUGUGGAGGUGCUGCAUGGUUGUCGUCAGCUCGUGCCGUGAGGUGUCGGCUUAAGUGCCAUAACGAGCGCAACCCCUCUCUUCAGUUGCCAUCACUUCGGGUGGGCACUCUGGAGACACUGCCACCGUAAGGUGUGAGGAAGGUGGGGAUGACGUCAAAUCAGCACGGCCUGUACGUCCGGGGCUACACACGUGUUACAAUGGGUGGUACAGAGCGUCGGCCGCCGGCAACGUCGGUCCAAUCGUGAAAUCCAUCCUCAGUUCGGACUGGGGUCUGCAACCCGACCCCACGAAGCUGGAUUCGCU
rnacentral:rRNA from 1 species